AAUGGGAUAGCUGGGUCAAAUGGUGGUUCCUCCAGGUUUUCCAAGGAAUCUUCAUACUGCUUUCCAGAUUGGUUGCACCAAUUUGCAGUCCUACCAGCAAU
rnacentral:pre_miRNA from 1 species